rnacentral:tRNA from 1 species
GUUUUAAUAAUUUAAAUAAAAUAUUGGUUUUGUAAAUCAAAAAUAAAAAGUUUUUUUUUAAAACA